GCCUUUCAGAUCCUUCUCUACUUUCCUGAGUUUUAGAACAAUAAUCUGAACUCGUUCAAGACGAGAGGGAUUUUCUUUCUUCGCACCGCCUGCAAGCGUGGAAGCUUUAUCUGGUCUUACUGCGUUAAUAUUGAUGCAAAUUGUGCUUGAUGUUCACUGAUUUAACAGGAACGAUAUAAAGCGAACUGGAUUAUGAAAUUUUAACCACAGAAAGUUCAAGAUCUUAGCUCAACAAUGGCACUGGAAUUGCACUUCUUUUUGUAUUUCUUUUUUGUGUUCUGUUUUUCCUC
rnacentral:lncRNA from 1 species